GCAGACUCACUCUGUUUGGUGUCGCCUCCUCCGGCUCUAAACUUUUUCAGUCUGCCACAGUGAUGCUACAGAAGCGCUCCAUAGUGUCUCUGACCGUGUGGCAGGGUUUAAGGAGCGUUCUGCUACACCCGU